GACGAACGCUGGCGGCGUGCUUAACUCAUGCAAGUCGAACGCGCCUGUCCUCUGGGUUUCUGGGGGGUGGGUGAGUGGCGAACGGGUGAGUAACACGUGAGUAACCUGCCCCCUUCUUCGGGAUAACGGUCUGAAAGGGCUGCUAAUACCGGGUAUUCACUGGUCUCCGCAUGGGGUCUGGUGGAAAGGUUUUUUUCUGGUGGGGGAUGGGCUCGCGGCCUAUCAGCUUGUUGGUGGGGUGAUGGCCCACCAAGGCUUUGACGGGUAGCCGGCCUGAGAGGGUGACCGGUCACAUUGGGACUGAGAUACGGCCCAGACUCCUACGGGAGGCAGCAGUGGGGAAUAUUGCACAAUGGGCGCAAGCCUGAUGCAGCGACGCCGCGUGAGGGAUGGAGGCCUUCGGGUUGUGAACCUCUUUGGCCCGUGGUCAAGCCGCGACGUGGGUCGUGGUGAGGGUAGUGGGUAAAGAAGCGCCGGCUAACUACGUG
rnacentral:rRNA from 1 species